CAUCACUACGCUAGAUGCAUAUCAAUAAGCGGAGGAAAAGAAACUAACAAGGAUUCCCUUAGUAACGGCGAGUGAAGCGGGAAGAGCUCAAAUUUGAAAUCUUCAAGGUUCUACCUUGACGAAUUGUAGUUUAUAGAAGUGUUUUCUGUUAGUAGAGUGGCAAAAGUUCUUUGGAAUAGGACAUCAUAGAGGGUGAGAAUCCCGUAUUUGACCAUUUCUUUCAGCUUUGUGAUACACUUUCAAAGAGUCGGAUUGUUUGGGAAUGCAGUCCAAAAUGGGUGGUAAAUUUCAUCUAAAGCUAAAUAUUGGCGAGAGACCGAUAGCGAACAAGUACCGUGAGGGAAAGAUGAAAAGAACUUUGAAAAGAGAGUUAAACAGUACGUGAAAUUGUCAAAAGGGAAGCGUUUGACACCAGUGCUGUUUAUUCGAAAAUCAAUUAAAAUGGGAUUUUCGAUUUAGUAGUAUUGACCUUAUCAGCUUUCUGCACUUUCUUCUCGUAUUAUUUAAUGCACUUUUCAGUUAACAAGUCAACAUCAAUUUCUUUUGUUGUAAAAGGUAAGAGGAAGGUGGCUUGACGCUUCGGCUCAAGUGUUUAUAGCCUUUUACCUCUGCAAUCGGAGAGAUUGAGGUCUGCAGCGUAGAUCCUUCGGGGUUAGAUACAUUUGUGCUAAGUUAUAGCUUGUCAUAGACAACUUGUUGACUAUGUUAAGUCAUUGUAGCUUACUCGCAUAUGCUAUUUUACCUACGCUUAGGAUGUUGACACACGCGCGUGCUCG
rnacentral:rRNA from 1 species